CUCCCUUCUUCGCCUGUUUCGCCUCCGCGGACCCUGGGCUGGGGAUGUGAGACCGGGCGUCGGCCACGGCGGCGGCGGCGAGAGCAGCGGGGACCAUGGCCCAGGUUCCUUCCCAGGAGAAAUCUAAGCUUGUCAGCGAGACUCGGAGGAGGUUUGAAGCCGAGUAUUUGGCAGAUAAGUCAGAUAAAUAUGAUUCCCGGGAUGUGGAAAAACUACAACAAGAUGAUACUUGGGUUGAAAGUUUUUUGUGUUGGCGACAUGAUGUGGUAGAUGAAACACUGAAGAUGAUUGAUGAAAGUUUUCAGUGGAGGAAAGAAUUUGCUGUCAAUGACCUGAAUGAAUCUACUCUUCCCAAAUGGCUAUUUGAGGUUGGUGCUGUAUAUCUACAUGGAUAUGACAAAGAAGGCAACAAAUUGUUCUGGUUCAGAGUGAAGUUUCAUACAAAAGACAAUAAAACUAUUUUGGACAAAAAGAAGCUUGUAGCCUUCUGGCUAGAACGUUAUGCCAAAAGAGAGAAUGGAAAACCCUUAACAGUGAUGUUUGAUAUGUCAGAAACUGGACUGAGUAACAUAGACAUGGAUAUUGUUCGGUUCAUCAUCAACUGCUUUAAGGUUUAUUAUCCUAAAUACCUCACAAAAAUUGUAGUCUUUGAUAUGCCAUGGAUAAUGAAUGCUGCUUUUAAAAUUGUGAAAGGCUGGCUUGGUCCAGAAGCAGUGAACAUGUUGAAGUUUACUGGUAAAAAUGAAGUGCAGGAGCACGUCAGCAUAGAAUACUUGCCCCCACACAUGGGUGGAACUGAUCCUUUCAAGUAUAGUUAUCCACCCCUAGUGGAUGAUGAUUUUCAAACCCCUUUGUGUGAAAAUGGACCUAUUACUAGUGAGGAUGAAACUGAAAGUAAAGAGGAUAUAGAAACAGAUAAUAAAGAAACUGGGGAAGCAAAUUCCAGUGAAGAACAACUUGUUAUGCCCAGAAAGAUUAGUUCAAUAGAACAAAUUUCCAAAAUAGAAGAGAGUGAUAAAGUGGAUUCAAAGAUAAAAACUUUAAAGAAAUCAUUAAGCAUGUUUAAAGGAGUCCUAUUGCAUAUCAGCCCUGCUGAAGAACUUUAUUUUGGAUCCAAAGAAAUUGGAGAGAAGAAAUGCUUAAUAGUUCUCACAAAUGUAACAAAAAAUGUAGUUGCAUUUAAGGUAAGAACAACAGCUCCAGACAAAUACAGAGUUAAGCCAAGUAAUAGUUGCUGUGACCCUGGUGCAUCAUUAGAUGUAGUGGUGUCUCUUCAUGGGGGUUUCACAAUUUCCCCUCAAGAUCGUUUUCUAAUAAUGGCUGCAGAAAUGGAACAGCCUUGUGGUACAGGGCCAGCAGAUUUGGCACAGUUCUGGAAGGAUGCACCCAGAAACAAAAUAAUGGAACAUAGGUUAAGAUGCCACGUUGAUAGCAGUAAACCAUCUUCUCUUACAUUAAAAGAAAAUUCUUUUAACAUUCCAUCCAAAAGCAGUGAGGACAUACAUUUGCAAAGAUCCUGCUGGUAGGAGUAUUUGUAGAACAACUUUUAAUGAUAACAAAGAACUGGGAACAAAGUAGAAGCCUACUGAUUGAAGAAGGCCAGAUCCAGCCUUUUAGAUUUGUCACUCAAAAGAAAUUGAACCUUGCAAUUUUUACAAUAAAAUAAAUAUUAAGUGCCUACAUCUAUGGGGCAAUUAGGUGGCACAGCGGAUAGUGUAUCAGGCCUGGAAUCAGGAAGAUCCAAGUUCAAAUGCAGCCUCUGGCACAUGCUAUGUGACCUUGUGUAAAUCAUUUAACCGUUUUCCUCGGUUUCAUCAUCUGCAAAAUGAGCUGAAGAAGGAAAUCUUUGCCAAGAAAAUCUCAAAGUGGGUCAUAGAGAAUCAGACAUGAUUGAAAUGAAUGGACAACAGUAACUUGUGUGGAGAGCACAGAUAGGCACUGGUAAAAGUAGAAAAUUUAGUUAAGGGAAGAUCCUUGCUUUCAAGAAACUUAUUGUAUAUUAAAGUGACAAGAUCCAAGGCAAAUAAACAUUCUAUUUUUUUUUAAGUACUUUAGAGAGCUAAAACAUGUUUUGUGAAGUAUGAGUCUUAAUUUCAUUUAUACAAUUUGAAUUCUAGGUACCUGUUUUCUUUGAAAUUCAUAUCACAACCUACUUUUAGAAGCUCCAUCCAAAGUCUGGGAAAUAGAAUAAGUAGAGACAGAAUUGCUGCUACUUAUUGGUAAUUAAUUACCUUUCUAACAUUAUUUAAGCUUCAAGAGACUUUUAAAAGAUUUUUUUAAAAAAUGUAUUUGUUUUCCCUUGGCAACUGUGCUUUGAGCUCAGCUUUUCUUAUUCUUUUGGAAGGUUUUUUUUUGUUUUUGUUUUUUUAAUAAUUUUGAUAAUUUUCUUUUUGUUGAGGAGAGAUACUUUUAUUUCUUUUAACAAAGAUUUAUUCAACAAAUGACAAAAUAGUUGGAGAUUUGAAAUACUUGGAAGUAUCAGUAUACCUGCUAGCAAUGUCAUCUUUGGAAAAACACUGGAAAAACAACAGAUUUUAUUAAUGUCCUGAGCAAAGAUAGCAAAGUCGCCUUGAUAAAUCAUUAGCCUCUCAUUUCAGUUUUCUUGCAUAAAAUGAGCAGAUUAAACUAGCUGAUUUCAAAAUUCUUUCUAACACUAUCUUUAUGUCCUUAUUUUACAGAUGAGAAAGCAAAUACAUUAAUAAAUUAAGUGAUUUCUCCCAAAACUUAAAUAGAAAGUAAACACUACAUCCAGGAGUCAAAUCCAGGUCAUUCCAAAUUAGUGAUCCUCUCAAUUAUAGCAAAUAAAGCUUGCUUUUUUUAUACUAUAAUCAACAGGCUUUUUAAAUAUAGAAUUGAUGGUUGUAUAGUAGGCUAUUCAGUUCAGAUUUUCCCAGAUUUCAGAAUAGAGGGAGAGGAAGGAAUUUAGCUGAGAUUUGAAGGAAGCCAGGGAAGUUGAGGCAAAAACAAUGGGGAGGGAAGUUCCAGAAAUGGAGACAGCCAUGGAAAAUUCAUGUAACCUAGAGAUGGAGUAUUUCGAGUAACAUGUGGUGUAGGGAGAGAAGUUCCAAAAAUGGGGGACAGCCAAUGAAAAUUCAUGGAACCUACAGAUCUUGUGUUUUGAGUUAACAGUAUAUGGCGUAGGGCAGAGCUACUUCAACUUUUUCCACUAACGACCCCUUUCCUCCCCAGAUAUGUAUACAUGACCUAGAUAGUUAUUUAGGUUAUAUAGGUACACAAAUCAAACAUUUACUGACAACAAAUCAUAACUUUACGAGCCCCUCCCACUUUCAAUUGCAAGACCCUAUAUGGAGUCCCUAAUCACAGUUUAAAAAACUGGGACAUAGGGUAAGGUAAAAAGCCACAUAGGGAAAUGUAGGUCUGUAAAAGCUAAACAGAAUUUUUUACAUAUAUGGAGGAAUAGGGAGAAACUGAAAUUUGUUAAUAGUAGGAAAGGAGGUGACUUUGUCAGAUCUAUGUCUAUUUUAAGAUUGUCAGUUCGAUGAUUGGAUAGAGGACAGACCAGAACAGAAAAAGACUGGAUAGAGGAAGGCCAGGCAGCAGGAUAUUGCAGUAGUUUAGGUUAUGAAGAGUCCCCCUGAACCAAGUUAGUGCAAGUCAAAGGAAAGAAGAAAGUAUAUAACAAUUUAUUGGAUAAGGGGUUUCAGGCGUAAAAAAGUAAGGGGUUAAGGAUGAGAACGAAGGAAUGUGGUAGGAUCUCGAAUAAUAAAAUUAGAAAGAGGGAAAGUUAUAUAAAGUGAAAAUACUUAGAAAAGGAUAAUUGUCAGUGGCAGAAGGAUGAAGACUGGGAAAAGAAUUCAAUUUUGCAAUCAAAGAUCAUUGGAACUUUGGAGAAAAUAGUUGAAUGAGAGAUCAGAAGCUAGAUUACAAAGAUUUAAGAAGAUAAUAAAUUUUUUUUAAAAUUGGAUGCACCAAAUAUAGACAGCUUCCUCAAGGAGUUAAUUAUAAAGGGAGGGGAAAUAUGGAAGGCUAGCUGAAUUAGAUGAGAGGUUUUGAGAAUGGAAAAGAAAUGGUUGUUUUUAUAGACAAUAUGCAAAUUACCAGGAGAUAGGACAAGAUUGAAAAUUGGUGAAAAAGUAGGAAUGAUAGAGCAACGGGUCAGAGAAGACAGAGAUGAUUGUGUUGUUAAGAAGAGGCAUUUUGUUAUAUAAGAUGGAAAGAAGAUAGUAAUAGGAGUCAUCUGAUUGUUGUGAAAUGAUGUCAAGGACAAGAGGGAACACAAUGAAGAAAAAGUUUUUAAUGAGAUAAAGUUCUCAAUCUUGAGAGGUGGGAAGAAUGCUAUAAGAUUUGAGAAGUAAUGAAAAGUUUAGAAUAACCUCAGCAGUAAGUGUCACGAUGGCAUAGAGAAUAUAAAAGAAUUGCCUUGCUACAUUGAGGACCUAAUUGAAAUUAUAGAAAAAAAAUUUUUUUUUGGAGAAACCAGUCAGCCAUGCCUUUGUGAUUUUAUUAAGUUUUAUUCAGCAUCAUGUGAGUAGGGGGGUGAAAGUAAUAGAUGAUGGGAGCAGUCCAAAUUUGGCAGGACAAAAUCUUUAAUAGAGUAAGUGGUCAUUUGAGAGAUGGCAGUGUAGAAUUCAACUGAUUCACCCCAUGUGUCAAGAUGGGGAAGAAAAGAGAAAGUAGCAGAGAUUGGGGGGGGGGGGGCUACAGGAUGGGUUAAAGUGUUAUAAUGAGGGCAAAGGAGAGAGUUUGGGUGGAUAGGUCAUAUGAUAACAGGUUAUAAUGAGGUAAAAGGAUUUCAAAGUUCAUGCAUAUAUGGAUAUAGAACUUUAAUGAGGAUAUGACCAUCAUGUGUAGAUGUGAGUCUAUGGAGAAUAAAU